rnacentral:rRNA from 1 species
AUUGAACGCUGGCGGCAGGCCUAACACAUGCAAGUCGAACGAGCGGCGGACGGGUGAGUAAUGUCUGGGAAUCUGCCUGAUGGAGGGGGAUAACUACUGGAAACGGUAGCUAAUACCGCAUACUAUCGGAUGUGCCCAUAUGGGAUUAGCUAGUAGGUGGGGUAAAGGCUCACCUAGGCGACGAUCCCUAGCUGGUCUGAGAGGAUGAUCAGCCACACUGUAACUGAGACACGGCCCAGACUCCUACGGGAGGCAGCAGUGGGGAAUAUUGCACAAUGGGCGCAAGCCUGAUACAGCCAUGCCGCGUGUAUGAAGAAGGCCUUCGGGUUGUAAAGUACUUUCAGCGGGGAGGCGUUACCCGCAGAAGAAGCACCGGCUAACUCCGUGCCAGCAGCCGCGGUAAUUC